rnacentral:rRNA from 1 species
UACGUAGGUGGCGAGCGUUGUCCGGAUUUACUGGGCGUAAAGGGAGCGUAGGCGGACUUUUAAGUGAGAUGUGAAAUACCCGGGCUCAACUUGGGUGCUGCAUUUCAAACUGGAAGUCUAGAGUGUAGGAGAGGAGAAUGGAAUUCCUAGUGUAGCGGUGAAAUGCGUAGAGAUUAGGAAGAACACCAGUGGCGAAGGCGAUUCUCUGGACUGUAACUGACGCUGAGGCUCGAAAGCGUGGGGAGCAAACAGGAUUAGAUACCCCCGUAGU